rnacentral:rRNA from 1 species
AUUGAACGCUGGCGGCAUGCCUUACACAUGCAAGUCGAACGGCAGCGCGGGAGCAAUCCUGGCGGCGAGUGGCGAACGGGUGAGUAAUAUAUCGGAACGUGCCCAGUAGUGGGGGAUAGCCCGGCGAAAGCCGGAUUAAUACCGCAUACGACCUACGGUUGAAAGGGGGGGAUCGCAAGACCUCUCGCUAUUGGAGCGGCCGAUAUCAGAUUAGGUAGUUGGUGGGGUAAAGGCCCACCAAGCCUACGAUCUGUAGUUGGUCUGAGAGGACGACCAGCCACACUGGGACUGAGACACGGCCCAGACUCCUACGGGAGGCAGCAGUGGGGAAUUUUGGACAAUGGGGGCAACCCUGAUCCAGCAAUGCCGCGUGCAGGAAGAAGGCCUUCGGGUUGUAAACUGCUUUUGUCAGGGAAGAAAUCCCUUGGGUUAAUACCUCGGGGGGAUGACGGUACCUGAAGAAUAAGCACCGGCUAACUACGUGCCAGCCGCCGCCGUAAUAC